AUAUCAAUAAGCGGAGGAAAAGAAACUAACAAGGAUUCCCCUAGUAACUGCGAGUGAAGAGGGAAGAGCUCAAAUUUAAAAUCUGGCUGUUCUUGUAGCAGUCCGAGUUGUAGUUUAGAGAAGUGCUAUCCGUGUUGGCCUGUGCAUAAGUUUCUUGGAAAAGAACAUCAUAGAGGGUGACAAUCCCGUCUUUGGCACAGAUUACCAGGGCUUUUGUGAUGCGCUCUCGACGAGUCGUGUUGUUUGGGAAUGCAGCACUAAAUGGGUGGUAAAUUCCAUCUAAAGCUAAAUAUUGGCGAGAGACCGAUAGCGAACAAGUACCGUGAGGGAAAGAUGAAAAGAACUUUGAAAAGAGAGUUAAACAGUAC
rnacentral:rRNA from 1 species